GACGAACGCUGGCGGCGUGCUUAACACAUGCAAGUCGAGCGGUAAGGCCCUUUCGGGGGUACACGAGCGGCGAACGGGUGAGUAACACGUGGGUGACCUGCCCUUAGCUCUGGGAUAAGCCUGGGAAACUGGGUCUAAUACCGGAUAUGACUCCAUAACGCAUGUUGUGGGGUGGAAAGCCUUGUGCGGCUAGGGAUGGGCCCGCGGCCUAUCAGCUUGUUGGUGGGGUGAUGGCCUACCAAGGCGACGACGGGUAGCCGGCCUGAGAGGGCGACCGGCCACACUGGGACUGAGACACGGCCCAGACUCCUACGGGAGGCAGCAGUGGGGAAUCUUGCGCAAUGGGCGAAAGCCUGACGCAGCGACGCCGCGU
rnacentral:rRNA from 1 species